rnacentral:lncRNA from 1 species
AACCCCUAUGUGCAACCCUGCUGUGCACACACCCUCCCCUUUGGGUCUGGCUACAACCUGCCCAUUUGACGGAUGAGGACACUGAGGCUCAGAGGGGUCAGGGCCUCACCCCUGGUCACGCAGCUGGUGAAGAAACUGAGACAGAGAGAUGAAGUCACUUGGUCAAGGUCACUGGAGACGGUAAUUCUGAGGGCUCAGGCUUUCUCGUGUAAAACAUGAAGCACACAGGUGCUCCAAAAACCCUCCAGGAGUUCCUGUUGUGGCUUAGCAGUAAAUGAACCUGACUAGUAUCCUUGAGAAUGAGGGUUUGAUCCCCGGCCUCAUUCAGUGGCUUAAGGAUCUAGCUGUGGUCCUACGCCACAGCCACAGCCACACGGGAUCUGAGGCGCAUCUGCGACCUGGUGGUUUUUCAAGCCUACUUCAGCCCUCUCCCGUGAUCCUCUGGGCCUGGCUCCCCCUCCAGUGAGUCUCUUUGAAUCAAACAGUACCAGUUGGUUUCUGCUGCUUGCUACCAGGAGCUCUCCGGGAUCUGCAGGGUCUCCCAGGCUGCAGUGCCUCUGCGAUGGCUGCUGGGGUCCCGCUCUGUUAGUGACCGGCCACGUGGUCUGGGAGAGACCAUCGCAGGCUCUGACAGGCUAGGAGGGACAUGGCAGAGCCAGUAAAGGGCUCUCAGUCACCAACUGGCUCUGGGUUUCCUAAAACUCAAUUCUAAAUCCACAUUCAGGACCACACAGCCACAACUGCCUGUACUCAACCUUGUUGAUUUUUUUUUUAAAUGACCUUCUUUUGAAACCCCAACCCAUCUCAUAGGCAACUAUAUGCCACAGUCCUAAAUGGAGAACCAGUUUUGCUUGCCCUAAAUAAAAAACAAAUCCAGCAAAAUCAAAACAAAUGAUUAAAUUUCAUCCAGCUGCCAGCUCAGGGCAGCUUGAGGCUUCCUCCCUCUGUGCAAAAAGUGAGAUUAUUAAGUGUCUAACAGCAGCAAAUAGCAGCACCCAGAAGAGACUUCCUCCAUAACCCCAGAACCCUAAUCAGAAUUGAGAAGAAUGUGCCUUUCUCUCCCUAGGAUCUUUCUUUCUCUUUCUUUCUUUCUUUCUUUUCUUCUUCUUUUUUUCCCCUUUUUUCUUUUUUUUGGCCACACUUGAGGCAUGUGGAAGUUCCCAGGCCACGGGCUAAAUCUGCACCACAGCAGCAACCCAAGCCACGGCAGGUCCUUAACAUGGUAGGCUACCAGGGAACUCCAGCUCUCCAGGAUUUAAGGUGAAUCAUGCUGCUUUGGUUAUUUAUUUUUUUACUUUUUUGCUUUUUAGGGCGGCACCUGCGGCAUGUGGGCAGACGUUCCCAGACUAGGGAUCGAAUUAGAGCUGCAGCUGCUAGCCUACACCACAGCCACAGCAACACCAGAUCCUUAACCCACUGAGAGAGGCCAGGGAUCAAACCCACAUCCUCAUGGAUACUAGUUGGGUUCAUAACCCACUAAGCCAUGGUGGAAACUCUGGUGCUGCCUUUAAAACAGACAUGUAGGAAUUCUCAAUGUGGCUCAGCAUGUUAAGAGCCAGACAUAGUGUCCAUGAGGUUGCGGGUUUGAUCCCGGGCUUCAUUCAGUGGGUUAAGGAUCCAGCGUUGCCAUAAGCUGUGGAUCCUGCACUGCUGCGGCUGUGGUGUAGGCUGGCGACUACAGCUCCAAUUGGACCCCUAGCCUGGGAACUUCCCUAUGCCACAGGAGUGGCCCUAAAAAAGAAAAAGACAAACAAAACAAAAAAAUGGGCAUAUAUACAAUGCACCCAGACACUAGCAAUGACCAAUCUAAUUCAGCCAGAGUCCUGUCAUGGCGAGGGUUUCAGUUGUGUGACCUUGGGCAGGUCACUUGACUUCUCUGUAUCUGGGUUCCUCCCAUCUCUACAUAAAGAGUGAAUAACAGAACCUACCUCCUAGGGGUGUCGUAAGGAUCAAAGCAACGAAUAGCAGACAGGACCUGUGACAGAGUACACGCUGCCAAACGUCUGUUAAACACAUAAGGCCAAGGCCACUCUCACGGUACCAGCGGGACCCCCGAGGUACAGGGAGAGGAAAGGACAGGCUCAGAGCAACGGGGCGCCUCCCUUCCCUCAGGCCAUCACCAGCCACAGCCAGUCGAACCCUUGGAUUAUCCAGGCGCAGGCCCUCCCUGCUCGCUCAAUGUUCCUGAGCUCCGGCUUGGCUUCCGCCGGGCUUCUUAAUUUCAUUCUCACGCCAACCAAAAGAGGGCGGUGGGUCCAUCAGGCCCAGGCCACAGAGGGCAGGACUGAGCCCCCAAAGGGGUGACAUAAUUCCUGUCUGUCUCUGCGUGCACCCGGGCGGGGAGGAGGGUGCAGUGGACUGUGGGCUCCCCCACCCCCAUCCAGCCCCAGCACCCCCCGCAUUAUCUCUAGGCGGCAGCAGCUGAGCCUCCCGGUAUCUCUCUGAUCCCCCAAAUUUCCGGUUCCCCAAAGACAACUCAGGAUGUGGGGAGGGAGGGGCAGGGAGAGGAGGAGGAGGGAGACAGAGAACGUGAGAGAGAGAGAGAGGUCACAGAGAGACAGAGGGCCACAGAGGUGACAGAGACACCCAGAGACAGAGAGACAGAUGAGAGAUAGAGCUUCUAAGAGACUGAGACCCAGGUUGAGGCUGACAGAAACGGAGGCAAAGUCAGAAAGGGGGCGGUGACCCUGGGACACACAGAGACAAGGGGAGACGGGGAGGGAGAGACCCAGAGACUGAGACGGAGGCAAAAAUGAAAGUGGCAAGUGGGACGGGGAGAGAGGGGGCUGGAGUCAGAGCGGGGUGUGGGGUGCUGUCAGGAACCCAGAAACAGAAAGACAAGUGGCAAGACUGAGAGCCGGCUGGGAGAGGGUGAGAAACACUCAAAGGCCCAGCCAAGCAAGGUGCAUGAGGAGGCAGACAGGGACGAGGACCCGAGCAUGGAGGCAGGAGGGGGCCCCGGGGGAGGAGAGCAGAGGCCCCAUGUCUGGGGCUCUUAACCCCAUAGGGCCACAGAUGCCCACAGUAUCCACCCCUCGGGCUCACGUAGCUCACAUAUCCCAGAGAAGAGGGACCUGGCUCAGGCCCAGCUGUCCAGAGCUCCAGAGCCAACAGCCCCAGUCUGAAGUCUGGCACAGGAGUGUGCUCUGAACGGCCUCAGCGACUCGCCCCCGCUUAGUGACAGAGGAGGACAAAGAGGCCUGGAUUGGGGGGGGUCAUGGUGGGCACAGAAGGUGGUACUCAGGAAAAAGGGUUGCUUGGACCACUCAGGGAGGGAGAGCCAGUCCCCUGCCUGAUCUGGCCACCUGCCUUCCCCGAGCCUUAGUCUCCUCACUUGCAAACGGGUGAUAAAGAGAAGAACAUACUCAGAAGCACAGUAACCACCAAACAUCUGUGAAGUGUGUGGCACCUUGCGUGGCCUAUGUCAGUGCCCGAAGGCAGGCCUUGUUGAAGGUCGAAGCUCCACAGCAUCCUGUCUGGAUGAGUCAGGGCCCUUUCAUUUGCAAAUGACAGAAACCCAGCUGGAGCUGAGCCAAGUGAACCAAGGGUGUUAAUUAACUCGUGUAACUGCACAGUUGACAGGUGAAGCCUGCGUCAGGAACCAGUGGAUCCAGGACCUCAACCCAGGUUCUCGCGAACUUUUCUCCCCUUUCCUGGUACUGCUCACCUCCAUGCUCCCUUCUCCCGCACAGGUGCCCUUCAUAAGGUUCUCUCCCGGCCCACAUCCUCCUUGUCGAGGGGUCCAGGAAGAGAGAAAUAACCUUAUUCCCAAAAGUUCUGGCAAGAGUCCCUGUGCCAAGCAGAAUUUGCUCUCCGUGGGAUUUCUCUUUUGGUUUGCCUCGUUGGGUUUCCCUUUUGCACCAACUUUUAAUGAGUACAUGGUCUCCCUCCCCCUCCCUCACUCCUGGGUAGGUGGCACUUCCAUAAGUAACUCUGGGAUUUGCUGAGGGACCUUAGGCAAAUCACUUCACCUUCCUGAACCUGUUACCUUCUCUACCAGAGGGGUUCCUCACACCUUACGGACAAGAGUGUUGUGAGACUCAAUGAAUUCAUGAGUGCAGCACACAGUAAGUGGGGAAAAAAUGCAUCGCGACAGCCGCCCUCCCUUCUACCAACAAGAGCCCCUAAUUUUCCCCGGGUGCCUUCCCUGUUUCCAGUCCCUCAGAGUGGAGCAUAUGACCCGGUCCUAAGUCAUUUAGCCAUGGCAUUCUCCGGGCCAGUGACCAGUCAGGGGAGUCUUGUGACCUAAACUAGGACCAUCAGAGUAAGUGUAGGGCUUCUGCUGAAGGUUCUGGGAUAUUCUACAACAGGCCGGCAGCUGGAGCUCUGAAUCAACCCCUAGCCUGGGAACCGCCAUAUGCCGUGGGUGCGGCCCUAAAAAGCAAAAAAGAAAAAAGAAAAA